GGCAUGAAGAAGUUUGAGACCCUGUCCUACCUUCCGACACUGAAGGACGAGGAGUUGCUGAAGCAGAUCGAGUACCUUCUCCGCUCCAAAUGGAUUCCCUGCUUGGAGUUCUGCCCCGUAAGUAACUUCACCUGCCCCAUGGUGGGCAUCCGGUAACCUUGAUAUCCAGCAUGCAUACCGGGGAUUGAAGUCGAUCGUAAUGACCAUAACAGAAAGGGUUCGUGUGGCGCGAGAACCACCGGUCGCCGGGGUACUACGACGGGCGGUACUGGACCAUGUGGAAGCUGCCCAUGUUCGGGUGCACCGACGCUGUGCAGGUGGCGAAGGAGGUGGAGGAGUGCAAGAAGGAGUACCCCCACGCCUUCAUCCGCAUCAUCGGCUUCGACAACAACCGCCAGGUGCAGUGCAUCAGUUUCAUCGCCUACAAGCCGACCGGCUACUAGACGAUUCGGAUCCGG
rnacentral:lncRNA from 1 species